GGACCUGUGGUCUAGCUGGUUAGGACGUUGCCUUCACACGGCAGAGAUCGAGGGUUCGAAUCCCCCCGGGUCCA
rnacentral:tRNA from 1 species